rnacentral:rRNA from 1 species
GAUGAACGCUGGCGGCAUGCUUAACACAUGCGAGUCGAACGGGAAGUGGUGUUUCCAGUGGCGAACGGGUGAGUAACGCGUAAGAACCUGCCCUUGGGAGGGGAACAACAACUGGAAACGGUUGCUAAUACCCCGUAGGCUGAGGAGCAAAAGGAGAAAUCCGCCCAAGGAGGGGCUCGCGUCUGAUUAGCUAGUUGGUGAGGUAAUAGCUUACCAAGGCGAUGAUCAGUAGCUGGUCCGAGAGGAUGAUCAGCCACACUGGGAAUGAGACACGGCCCAGACUCCUACGGGAGGCAGCAGGGGGGAAUUUUCCGCAAUGGGCGAAAGCCUGACGGAGCAAUGCCGCGUGGAGGUGGAAGGCCUACGGGUCGUCAACUUCUUUUCGCGGAGAAGAAACAAUGACGGUAUCUGAGGAAUAAGCAUCGGCUAACUCUGUG